UGCUGCAGGUACUUGGAAUUUCCUAAAUAUAGAAUUCAUGGAAAAUUCAUCUUAUCUGCUGACAUGCAGCUCCACUGAGCCAACUGAAAACUCCUCCUUUUAGAACAAGAAGAUGGACCACAUUCUAGAAGUGAUGUAGGAUCCACUCUAUUCUGUUUGUACAUGGUAUCAAAAUCACCUGCAUCUUGUGAAGGGAUUGUGCUCCUUCUUCCCUCUACCUCCACAACUCCUCUGUCAGAAGAUGCAGAGUAACUGGAAAAUGUUGGGUUGGAGGAAAUCUUAAAAUGGCAGCACAAAAAAGGAAACAAAAGGGAACAAAAACCAGAAGCGUUAAAGGCAAAAUUUAACACAUCCUUCAAUAUUUACAGAAAUAAAUAUUGGCCCUGAUCUGUCAAA